AGCUGGGAUUAUAGUUUGUAGGUGAUUUACAAAGUGUUUGAGAAAAGAAGGCUUCUGCUGUGGUCAGAGGUACAGAGUGGAGUGUGAGCAGUGAUGGAAGUUCCGGACAUCAACAUGGAUUUUGUACCUGGACCCACAUUUUGGCAAAUACC